UUCUUAUAGUGUUGGCGCGAUAACGUACCCAGUGGAGCCUGAGGGUACUUCUGGCAACCCGAUCUUAGGCGGUUAUGCUCCAGCAAAGAGCUUAUGAUCACCAGCCUGGACAGUUACUUCUUAAGGUGGACUUAUCCAGAUUUGACCAAGAAUCGGAUCCGGGGAGAAACAAAAAAAAACACCCUGGCCUCCGCUCGUCUGAGCCUGUUGGAGACCAGGAAUAACCAGUAUAGGUUUUGUUGGGACACUACACACAAGCAGAAUGGAGAGACAAAAAAAAAGAAACAUCAGUACCGAUAAAACAAUCACUCACAUAUUUACACUUAUAACUCACAUUAAAGGGUAAUUCCCCAAAAUAAUAAAUAUAGACCGAACACUGA